rnacentral:rRNA from 1 species
AACGAACGCUGGCGGCAUGCCUAACACAUGCAAGUCGAACGAGACCUUCGGGUCUAGUGGCGCACGGGUGCGUAACGCGUGGGAACCUGCCCUUAGGUUCGGAAUAACUCCCCGAAAGGGGUGCUAAUACCGGAUAAUGUCUUCGGACCAAAGAUUUAUCGCCUUUGGAUGGGUCCGCGUUGGAUUAGCUAGUUGGUAGGGUAAAAGCCUACCAAGGCGACGAUCCAUAGCUGGUCUGAGAGGAUGAUCAGCCACACUGGGACUGAGACACGGCCCAGACUCCUACGGGAGGCAGCAGUGGGGAAUAUUGGACAAUGGGCGAAAGCCUGAUCCAGCAAUGCCGCGUGAGUGAUGAAGGCCUUAGGGUUGUAAAGCUCUUUUACCCGGGAUGAUAAUGACAGUACCGGGAGAAUAAGCGCCGGCUAACUCCGUG